UACAGAGGUCUCAAGCGUUGUUCGGAUUCAUUGGGCGUAAAGGGUGCGUAGGCGGCGCGGUAAGUCGGGUGUGAAAUCUUGGAGCUUAACUCCGAAACUGCAUUCGAUACUGCCGUGCUCGAGGACUGGAGAGGAGACUGGAAUUUACGGUGUAGCGGUGAAAUGCGUAGAUAUCGUAAGGAAGACCAGUGGCGAAGGCGGGUCUCUGGACAGUUCCUGACGCUGAGGCACGAAGGCCAGGGGAGCAAACGGG
rnacentral:rRNA from 1 species